UACUCACCCUUGCUUCUACACAGUUGUGUAGGUUGACAACUCUAUCAGAUCCGGCUUAUUACUCUUCUUCAGAUUAGAGCUUCCAGACUUACUUGAGAGGUAGCGGUUCAUUCCAGACGUGCCCUCAAGUUAUCUAUAUUUACUGUUCUGUUCUAUUCUAGAACUUUACUAUGAGACUUGUAUAUUUUAUUCAGAUUCUGUAUUAGAGGUUUGUACAUGUGACAACCAAUUCUGGGGUUAUGUUGAGUUUAUUUAAAGACUUUCGCUUAUCUUUCUAUCUUA